AACCCUGAACGAGGUGGCUUGGCCACCGUAGUUUACCUCCCUGUUAGACUGGCCGGGCCUUGUGCCCGGUCUUUUUU
rnacentral:ncRNA from 1 species